rnacentral:rRNA from 1 species
UACGGAGGGGGCUAGCGUUGUUCGGAAUUACUGGGCGUAAAGCGCACGUAGGCGGCUUUGCAAGUCAGAGGUGAAAGCCCGGGGCUCAACCCCGGAAUAGCCUUUGAGACUGCAUCGCUAGAAUUGUGGAGAGGUAAGUGGAAUUCCGAGUGUAGAGGUGAAAUUCGUAGAUAUUCGGAAGAACACCAGUGGCGAAGGCGGCUACCUGGACCGGUUCUGACGCUGAUGCGCGAAAGCGUGGGUAGCAAACAGG